AACAAAGAAGUAAAAAAUACAUUUAGUUUCGACCUAAAAUUUUAAGGAAUAUUCCUUCUUGUUUU
rnacentral:tRNA from 1 species